UGGCAGUCGUUCAUCAUCCCUCAAUCUUCGUUCAUCUCUGAUUUAAUUGAAAUUUUGAAUUGAACUCUCUUCAACAAUCUAUUUAAAAACCCUAGCGCUCAUUUCAACUUUUAUUGCCUCCUCUUCUUUCUCUCUCCUUUCAUCCACGUUUUCUCUCCAAACUCUAGGCAAGGGCAAGUGCAACGACAAAUCUUACAUCCUAGAGCUUCCAUCGAACUUCCACAAAGACCGACCUAUUUUGUGUUUUGGGGUUCUUUGAAGACUAUCGUCGACCACUACUACUCCAUUUCUAAGGAAGCAUAACAACCACCGCCAGUCUCUGCCACUGUCACCAUUGAUGUCUUCCAGCCAUCGGUUCUACUCGCCGACCUUCUAGGGUUUGCUAUCCCCUCCUUCAGUUUCUCUGUGAUAGAAGAUGAAGAGGAUCAUCACGCUACUCCGCCGCUCACCCACUCGCUCUGUACAUGCACACACACCUCGACAAUUCACUAUUUCUCUUUGUUUUGAUUAAUGGCAGGUUAAACAGACUUUGGAUCACUAGAUGACGACCAACGCUUCUUUCCCUCAAAACCCACGCUUAUCAAUGCUUCUUUCAUUUGACUGUGAUUCAUAAUCGCUACAAGAAUACCACCAUUUACACCCAUCAAUAUUUCUUUUGACUGUGAUUAAUCUCAGACCUCCACAUGCAAAUCUGCCAACAACAUCUUUGCUUCCUAGCAAAAGAUUUCCAAGUGGCCUUUAAACAAUGUUUUUGCAGUAAUUUUGAAUUCCAUUUCCGGAUUCUUUAUAGGUAAACUGAUUUCAUUAUGUUUUUGGGGUUUACGGAAAGGCUAUGAAGAAAUGGAGUAACCAGUCUUCAAAUAAGAAAAGCAUGUGGUUCUGCAUCAUAUAUAUGGUUAGGUUGAUCUGCAAGCACAACCUACAACUCAUAAAACUGGUCAGAACUAGGAGGUAAUGGUUCUUUGGUUAUAAAUGGUAGGUUGCCCUUUCACGACUUAGUCAUCUUUAAGGUUUAAUAUGCUUGCAUUGAAAUUAAAUUACAUAUAUCUUCUUAAACUAUUAGUUAUGUUGAUAUAAGCUGGGAGGGAAAAGAUCUCUACAAAUUUGUAAGUUUAAUUACUGUACAAUGCAUGAAAUGGCAUACACCCCUUGAUUUCUUAUUUUCUUUUGCAAGAUCAACAUAUCCUUUCAAACUCAGGCAAAGCUUGGUUCUGGUCAGACCUGGCCUGAAGGCUUAGUUGUUUUCAUUACCAAAGGUUAUAGUAACACAUGUAAGUUGUGGGUUUUUUCAAGCUUUUGAAUGGGAGUUUUAUUGAAACAGGGAAAGAAUGGAUGUUUUCAUUACGAAAGAUUUUACUAGCCAUCCUUGUAAUUUCUAACAUAAUUCAAUUACUAUGGCAAGAACAUUUUUAAUUA